AACCACCUGAUCCCUUCCCGAACUCAGAAGUGAAACCUCUUAGCGCUGAUGGUAGUGUGGGGUUACCCAUGUGAGAGUAAGUCAUCGCCAGCU
rnacentral:rRNA from 2 species